ensembl:lncRNA
GUUAAGGUUAGGGUUAAGGUUAGGGUUAGGGGAAGGGUUAGGGUUAGGGUUAGGGUUAAGGUUAAGGUUAGGGUUAGGGGAAGGGUUAGGGUUAAGGUUAGGGUUAGGGUUAGGGGAAGGGUUAGGGUUAGGGUUAGGGUUAGGGUUAGGGUUAAGGUUAGGGGUAGGGUUAGGGUUAGGGUUAAGGUUAGGGUUAGGGGAAGGGUUAAGGUUAAGGUUAGGGUUAGGGGAAGGGUUAGGGUUAGGGUUAGGGUUAGGGUUAGGGGUAGGGUUAGGGUUAGGGUUAGGGUUAGGGUUAAGGUUAGGGUUAGGGUUAGGGUUAGGGUUAGGGUUAGGUUAGGGUUAGGGUUAAGG